GAAACCAACAGGGAUUGCCUCAGUAACGGCGAGUGAAGCGGCAAAAGCUCAAAUUUUAAAGCUGACAUCUUCGGUGUCCGCGUUGUAAUUUUGUGAGGCAUCUCCGGGUAGGGCGCCGGCCUAAGUUCCUUGGAACAGGACGUCACAGAGGGUGAGAAUCCCGUGCUUGGCUGGCUGUCCCCGUCCAUGUGAGGUGUCUUCGACGAGUCGAGUUGUUUGGGAAUGCAGCUCAAAAUGGGUGGUAAAUUUCAUCUAAAGCUAAAUAUUGGUGGGAGACCGAUAGCGCACAAGUAGAGUGAUCGAAAGAUGAAAAGCACUUUGAAAAUAGAGUUAAAAAGUACGUGAAAUUGUUGAAAGGGAAGCGCUUGAGACCAGACUUCGGUAAGGGGUGAUCAGCCGUCCUUCUGGGCGGUGCACUUGCCCCCCUCCGGGCCAGCAUCGGUUGAGGCGGCGGGAUAAAGGUCCCGGGAAUGUGGCUCCUUCACGGGAGUGUUAUAGCCCGGGUGAAUGCCGCCAGCUUCGACCGAGGACCGCACCCGCAAGGG
rnacentral:rRNA from 1 species